rnacentral:rRNA from 1 species
CAGUGAGGCGGAGCAAGAGCAUACACGUUGGGACCCGAAAGAUGGUGAACUAUGCCCGGGCAGGAUGAAGCCAGAGGAAACUCUGGUGGAGGUCCGUAGCGAUUCUGACGUGCAAAUCGAUCGUCGGACCUGGGUAUA